rnacentral:rRNA from 1 species
UAGUCUGCAACUCGACUACAUGAAGCUGGAAUCGCUAGUAAUCGCGGAUCAGAAUGCCGCGGUGAAUACGUUCCCGGGUCUUGUACACACCGCCCGUCACACCAUGGGAGUCGGGAAUGCCCGAAGCCAGUGACCCAAGCGAGAGCAGGGAGCUGUCGAAGGCAGGCCGGAUAACUGGGGUGAAGUCGUAACAAGGUAGC